rnacentral:rRNA from 1 species
AUUACUAAGCGGAGGAAAAGAAAAUAACGAUGAUUNCCCCAGUAACGGCGAGUGAAGUGGGAAGAGCCUAGCACUGAAUCCCUUGCCGAUGCGGCAACGGGAGCUGUAGUGUUUGGGACGGCCUCUGUGCGGUGCGCGGCGAUUCGAAGUUCGCUUGAAGGCGGCUUACUGGGCUUCGUUCGAGGCCUUGCCAGAGAGGGUGUCAGACCCGUGUGGAACGUCGCGUCCUCGCGCUUUGGUCUCGUCUCCAGAGUCGGGCUGUUUGGGAAUGCAGCCCAAAUGGGGUGGUAAACUCCAUCCAAGGCUAAAUACGCUCGCGAGUCCGAUAGCGGACCAAGUACCGCGAGGGAAAGUUGAAAAGAACUUUGAAGAGAGAGUUCAAGAGUACGUGAAACCGCUGAGAGGUAAACGGAUGGGAUCGCAAUUGCUCGCGGUGAGAUUCAGCUUUCGUUCGGUCGGCNACGUCCGGCUGUCGCCUGCUUGUCGGUGCNUUCUCUCGGGAGCGUAUCGCA